rnacentral:SRP_RNA from 1 species
AAUCUAUAAUAUAGUUUCGUUGCGUGCAGACAGCAGCUCAUCAUCCGGUCCUGCGCAGUGCGACACUGUGAACCGUGUCAGGUGGGGAACCAAGCAGCACUAAGCAGACCGUCCAUGUGCCGCAGACCAGCCGGGUGGUGAGUUGCUUCCUGCAGGCAACUUAUUUUUUUAUA